GUGCCAGCAGCCGCGGUAAUACGUAGGGUGCGAGCGUUGUCCGGAAUUAUUGGGCGUAAAGGGCUCGUAGGCGGUUUGUCGCGUCGGGAGUGAAAACCUCGGGCUUAACUCGGGGCUUGCUUUCGAUACGGGCAGACUAGAGGUAUGCAGGGGAGAACGGAAUUCCUGGUGUAGCGGUGAAAUGCGCAGAUAUCAGGAGGAACACCGGUGGCGAAGGCGGUUCUCUGGGCAUGAUCUGACGCUGAGGAGCGAAAGUGUGGGGAGCGAACAGGAUUAGAAACCCUUGUAGUCC
rnacentral:rRNA from 1 species